rnacentral:rRNA from 1 species
GUGGGGAAUAUUGGACAAUGGGCGAAAGCCUGAUCCAGCCAUGCCGCGUGUGUGAAGAAGGCCUUUUGGUUGUAAAGCACUUUAAGCGAGGAGGAGGUUACCGAGAUUAAUACUCUUGGAUAGUGGACGUUACUCGCAGAAUAAGCACCGGCUAACUCUGUGCCAGCAGCCGCGGUAAUACAGAGGGUGCGAGCGUUAAUCGGAUUUACUGGGCGUAAAGCGUGCGUAGGCGGCUUUUUAAGUCGGAUGUGAAAUCCCUGAGCUUAACUUAGGAAUUGCAUUCGAUACUGGGAAGCUAGAGUAUGGGAGAGGAUGGUAGAAUUCCAGGUGUAGCGGUGAAAUGCGUAGAGAUCUGGAGGAAUACCGAUGGCGAAGGCAGCCAUCUGGCCUAAUACUGACGCUGAGGUACGAAAGCAUGGGGAGCAAACAGGAUUAGAAACCCGGGUAGUCC